AGUGAACGCUGGCGGCAGGCCUAAUACAUGCAAGUCGAACGGCAGCACAGUGGAGCUUGCUCCAUGGGUGGCGAGUGGCGGACGGGUGAGGAAUACAUGGGAAUCUGCCCAGUCGUGGGGGAUAACGUAUGGAAACGUACGCUAAUACCGCAUGCGCCCUUCGGGGGAAAGUCGGGGACCGCAAGGCCUGACGCGAUUGGAUGAGCCCAUGUUCGAUUAGCUAGUUGGCGGGGUAACGGCCCACCAAGGCGACGAUCGAUAGCUGGUCUGAGAGGAUGAUCAGCCACACUGGAACUGAGACACGGUCCAGACUCCUACGGGAGGCAGCAGUAGGGAAUAUUGGACAAUGGGCGCAAGCCUGAUCCAGCCAUGCCGCGUGAGUGAAGAAGGCCCUCGGGUUGUAAAGCUCUUUCAGCCGGGAAGAAAACGCAUGGGUUAAUACCCUGUGUGGAUGACGGUACCGGAAUAAGAAGCACCGGCUAACUACGU
rnacentral:rRNA from 1 species